rnacentral:rRNA from 1 species
GCGUAGACGGCGCAGCAAGUCUGAUGUGAAAGGCAGGGGCUUAACCCCUGGACUGCAUUGGAAACUGCUGUGCUUGAGUGCCGGAGGGGUAAGCGGAAUUCCUAGUGUAGCGGUGAAAUGCGUAGAUAUUAGGAGGAACACCAGUGGCGAAGGCGGCUUACUGGACGGUAACUGACGUUGAGGCUCGAAAGCGUGGGGAGCAAACA